rnacentral:rRNA from 1 species
AGCUUAACAUUGUAAGUAAAUAAUAAUUAUGAAAGCAAAAAAUUAUGGCGGUAUUUUAAGCUUUUCAGAGGAAUUUGCUCUUUAAUGGAUAAAACACCAAAAUCUUACUUAGAUUUGUGAUUUCAAUUUGUAUACCACUAUUAAAACAAUUUAUAACUUUAAUUGUUUAAAUUUACAAAACUAAAAUAUAUUAAGUCAAGGUGCAGUAAAAAUUUAAGGAUGAAGUGAAUUACAUUACUUUUAAGUGAGAUAAGUUUAUAACAAUAUUUAGGAUUUGAAAGUAAAAUUAAAAUAGGAUGUUAAUUUGAAUUAAGCUCUAAAAUAUGUAC